rnacentral:lncRNA from 1 species
AGCCUUUCUUCAGUCUGUUGGCUGUUUUCUUUAUUGACAGUCCGCUUGAUUUCUCUUCUCACAGGAACAGAGAAAGUUCUUUGCCGUAGGAAUGUCUGAUGAUUAGCUGGCAUCUCUCUUAAGUCAUAGAUCACCACAAACAUCUUCACCACAGUUUUGUUAGGGUUAAAUAAGGUCACUUGUAUCGUUCCUGAAGGCGGUACCCGAUAACCCCUUUUACCAAGG